rnacentral:rRNA from 1 species
AACUAUAACGGUCCUAAGGUAGCGAAAUUCCUUGUCGGGUAAGUUCCGACCUGCACGAAUGGCGUAACGACUUCCCCACUGUCUCCAGCAUAGGCUCAGUGAAAUUGAAUUCCCCGUGAAGAUGCGGGGUUCCCGCGGUCAGACGGAAAGACCCUAUGAACCUUUACUAUAGCUUCGCCUUGGCGUUAGCGACCGUAUGUGUAGGAUAGGUGGGAGACUAUGAAGCCGGGGCGCCAGCCUUGGUGGAGUCGUCCUUGAAAUACCACCCUUACUGUCGUUGACGUCUAACCGAGGGCCGUUAUCCGGUCCCGGGACAUGGCGUGGUGGGUAGUUUGACUGGGGCGGUCGCCUCCCAAAGUGUAACGGAGGCGCGCGAUGGUGAGCUCAGAGCGGUCGGAAAUCGCUCGUCGAGUGCAAUGGCAUAAGCUCGCCUGACUGCGAGACUGACAAGUCGAGCAGAGACGAAAGUCGGCCAUAGUGAUCCGGUGGUCCCGAGUGGAAGGGCCAUCGCUCAACGGAUAAAAGGUACUCUAGGGAUAACAGGCUGAUUUUGCCCAAGAGUCCAUAUCGACGGCAAAGUUUGGCACCUCGAUGUCGGCUCAUCACAUCCUGGGGCUGGAGCAGGUCCCAAGGGUAUGGCUGUUCGCCAUUUAAAGUGGUACGUGAGCUGGGUUCAGAACGUCGUGAGACAGUUUGGUCCCUAUCUGCCGUGGGUGUUCGAAGCUUGAGAGGAUCUGUCCCUAGUACGAGAGGACCGGGAUGGACAUACCUCUGGUGUACCUGUCAUGGCGCCAGCUGUGCAGCAGGGUAGCUAAGUAUGGAAUAGAUAACCGCUGAAAGCAUCUAAGCGGGAAACUAACCUCAAAACAAGGCUUCGCUGAGGAUCGUGGAAGACUACCACGUUGAUAGGCCAGGUGUGGAAGCGCGGCGACGCGUGAAGCUUACUGGUACUAAUAAUCCGAUCGGUUUGAUCGUUUCUCA